AACGAACGCUGGCGGCAUGCCUAACACAUGCAAGUCGAACGAGACCUUCGGGUCUAGUGGCGCACGGGUGCGUAACGCGUGGGAACCUGCCCUUAGGUUCGGAAUAACUCCCCGACAGGGGUGCUAAUACCGGAUAAUGUCUUCGGACCAAAGAUUUAUCGCCUUUGGAUGGGCCCGCGUUGGAUUAGCUAGUUGGUAGGGUAAAAGCCUACCAAGGCGACGAUCCAUAGCUGGUCUGAGAGGAUGAUCAGCCACACUGGGACUGAGACACGGCCCAGACUCCUACGGGAGGGAGCAGUGGGGAAUAUAGGACAAUGGGGGAAAGCCUGAUCCAGCAAUGCCGCGUGAGUGAUGAAGGCCUUAGGGUUGUAAAGCUCUUUUACCCGGGAUGAUAAUGACAGUACCGGGAGAAUAAGCUCCGGCUAACUCCGUG
rnacentral:rRNA from 1 species